UACGGGGGGGGCAAGCGUUGUUCGGAAUUACUGGGCGUAAAGGGUCUGUAGGUGGCCAACUAAGUCAGACGUGAAAUCCCUCAGCUUAACUGGGGAACUGCGUCUGAUACUGGAUGGCUUGAGUGUGGGAGAGGAAUGCGGAAUUCCAGGUGUAGCGGUGAAAUGCGUAGAGAUGUGGAGGAACACCAGUGGCGAAGGCGGCUUUCUGGUCUGUAACUGACGCUGAGGCGCGAAAGCGUGGGGAGCAAACAGG
rnacentral:rRNA from 1 species